UUUGUUACAUGAUCAAGAGCUUCUUGUUAUCUUUUUAUCCCUAGGGUUUUCUUUUCAAUUUAUACUCUUUUGCUCAUCUCUCUCAUCUUUCUCACUCCCCAUCCCAAGAUAUUGAAAUUUAGAACACACAAACCCCUCUCAACAUCCUAGAAUGCUAACUCAUUGUGCUAGCAAGAGAUGAGAAUAAACCUAUGUCGCCUCCAAUACUCUCAAAAUUUUGCACAUGACAAGCUUUCAAAAGAGGCCUCACUCAUGCAAUUCAAUGUUUGGUCUCAAAGAAUGGUUAAGGUUUUAGGGUAGGGAGUGCCAUUUGGGUUAACAAAGAUAGGUAUGAAGGAAUAAGAUAACCCAAAUGUGUAUGAGAACCAUGAUCAAGUAAGCAAAUGCCCAUAUGCAAGAGAGAUUAAGUUCAUUCAAGCCAAGUUCAGAUUGGAGCUGAUCUUAAAAACAAUGCCAACAUCAAGCAAGCAAACAAGUUUCAAGAAGAGUUUUCAAGGCUCGAAGCGUGCAAGGUUUUCAAGAGAUGCUUAAGCUACUUGAUAUGUUUAACUACGGUGUCAUUUUGAGUUCUAGACAAGAGUUCCUUGCAAGGCAUUAAAAUCAUUGUUCCCAAUGCAAGUUAAUGCAACCUAUAUGCUCUAGACUCAAUCCUAAAAAUGCAAGUGAUACAACUACAUGUUUUUUUUUGUGUUUUUCAAAUUUUUCAAUUUUUUUGGUUUUUCUAUGCAUAUAUGUAUGUACAAUGCAAUGCAUGAGACUCAAAUUAUCAAAGAAAACAUGAUCAAAGUACUUGAUACCUCCCCAAACUUAGUUCACACAGUCUAUGUGUUAGGAAGUAGGAGGAGAUACCGAAAAGAGAAAUAAAUGCAAAGAAAAACUGGUAUAUACAAUGGAAGGGUGGUGGAGUACCUCUCUAUGAAGCGUGAGAAGAGGCUGAUGCCUCAUCCUCGGUGUCAGCGUCCUCAUCUGUCGAUGCAAGGGAUGGAGAUUUGUUUCCUGAAUCAGACGGUUGAGCUGGUGGGUUUCUCUUCCGGCGGAGCAGCUCUUUCUUGGUGGCGGGAAGUCUGAGUGCUAAAGGACCAAUUGAAGGCUGAGGCUGGGGGGUAAGGAAGUCAAAGUCUGAUGAUGAACAUCCCGCUACAGCUCCUCUAGUUAGUAUAUCAGCCACCUUCUUCAUGAACUGAGCUGAAGCUUCCGCUUGCCUCUUCACGGUCUUACUCAACACCUUGCACUUGUCUUUGAGCUUGAAGAUAGUUCUGUCCUGAGCCUUGUUCCAUCAUUGGAGGUUGCUA
rnacentral:lncRNA from 1 species